GAUGAACGCUGGCGGCGUGCUUAACACAUGCAAGUCGAACGAAGCACUUUAUUUGAUUUCCUUCGGGACUGAUUAUUUUGUGACUGAGUGGCGGACGGGUGAGUAACGCGUGGGUAACCUGCCUUGUACAGGGGGAUAACAGUUGGAAACGGCUGCUAAUACCGCAUAAGCGCACAGCAUCGCAUGAUGCAGUGUGAAAAACUCCGGUGGUAUAAGAUGGACCCGCGUUGGAUUAGCUAGUUGGUGAGGUAACGGCCCACCAAGGCGACGAUCCAUAGCCGACCUGAGAGGGUGACCGGCCACAUUGGGACUGAGACACGGCCCAAACUCCUACGGGAGGCAGCAGUGGGGAAUAUUGCACAAUGGGCGAAAGCCUGAUGCAGCGACGCCGCGGGAGCGAAGAAGUAUUUCGGUAUGUAAAGCUCUAUCAGCAGGGAAGAUAAUGACGGUACCUGACUAAGAAGCACCGGCUAAAUACGU
rnacentral:rRNA from 1 species